CCAGCGUGCAGACGACCACAUCCACGGACUCGUCCCGGACGCCCCGCAGCUCCUCCCCGGACAGCACCAAGAAGCGCUCGAAGGUCACGUGCUUGUUGGCGUCCAUGUUCCGGCGCAGGUAGCGCUCGAAGCCCGGGUUGGGGAGACGGUGAUGGUGUCGGCGAGGAGCGGGAACAGGCGGCGGUGGUACAGCGCACCGAAACCCGCCAUGCCCAGCAGACUCAGCGGCAAAGUCACGACCACGACCAGGAGUCUGCACAGUUUCAAACAACACGCCCGCAUUGCUGUCCCGCGCGCCCCGCAAUCACUUCUGCGGGGAUCAAGAGAUUAAAGCGGGGCUGCAGCGCGAACUCUGACCACAGGAGGGCGCCGCUGAGACGCUUCGGGCGACAAACUGUUAUACUUCUGAACCAUAGACUGUAAAAAUGAGGGACCUCAUUGCUCGCUCAGUCCAUUAUUUUUACAGUCUAUGUUCUGAACAAACAAAUACUUCUGCAAUAAAUAAAUACAUGUGAACAUUGUAAA